CAUCGCUCCCUGUAGAUAGCAAAUGGGGAGUCGGACCUGCCCGGUGAAUUUUUAACGGCCGCGGUACUCUGACCGUGCAAAGGUAGCAUAAUAAUUUGCCUUAUAAUUGAAGGCUGGUAUGAAUGGUUUGACGAGAAUAAAGCUGUCUCUCUGUAAUUUUAUAGAAAUUUAUUUGUAGAUGAAAAAGUCUACAUGCAAUUAAUAGACAAGAAGACCCUAUCGAGCUUUAAAAAAUUUAGUGGGUUAAAAACUAAUUAUAAUUUAUAAUGUUAUCUACUAGAAAUUUUAGUUGGGGCGACUAAGGAACAACUAAAGCUUCCUUAAUACCAGUACUUACCUAUAAGUUUUGAUCCAGAAAUGUCCUGAUUAAUAAAACUAGUUACCGUAGGGAUAACAGCAUUAUCUUUUUUGAGAGCUCCUAUCGAAAAAAAGGUUUGUGACCUCGAUGUUGGACCAGAAUGUCCUAAAGAUGCAGCAGUCUUUAAGGGUUGGUCUGUUCGACCAUUAAUAUUCUACGUGAUCUGAGUUCA
rnacentral:rRNA from 1 species